rnacentral:misc_RNA from 1 species
GUUAUUUUACAAGGAUGAGAGUGAUUGUGUUGAUUUUCGUGUCGCAGUGGGUAUGAGUGGUGCUAAGAUCUCGUACUAGUGAUAAAGUGCGCAUGUUAUGGGCAUUGAAGCUUAAUAAGCUUCUGAGUGGCGUUGGAGAUCUAGUGAUGCUUGAAGGAAAAGGGACUCGAAGGUAGAGCAUCACGUAGGUGUGAUGUCGCAAGUGGGCGUGGGCACCAGCAAUGGAUCUCUAUGUUGGCGUGUGGAGCUCGGGAGUUACUUUUAUUGUAAGGAACGCGAGGUUGCGAGAGUGGAGUAGGGGAGAGCUCCAUCUCCCUUAUGCCAUCAACACAGAACCCGACAGCUCCAUUGUUAAAGGCAAUUUCAGAUUGCAUGAUUGGUUUUGGUUGUGGCAAAGAGUGUGUCGAGAUUUAUAAAAUUGUUCAAAAAUCAAUUGCUAAUAAAGCUCUCUAUCAUCUUGGAGUCGAGAGGUUGAAUUUCUUGCAGAUUCAAAAGAUGGAUUGGGUGGUAAUAGAAUUGAAAAUCAAGAGUUGGUUAACUGUAGUGAAGGACAGUUAAUUAUUUCUCUUUUGAUCAAAUAGGUUAAUUAGGUUUAAGGAUU